CCCGUACCAAUGGAAACACAAAUUACCAAUCCGAGGAAAGUGGUUGGACUUCUUACUUUGAAGAUUUCUCUAAAGACAUUGAACCAAGUUACUGUUCUUCAAGUUUAGGUGGUUCCUCUUUGGUCUCAGAUGCUGCUUCUUGUGCUGCAUGGAAAUUUUCACAUAAAAAUCAUGUUAGAAAUUCACCAAACCUCUCUAAGAAACUCUCUUUGAAGAAAUCAAGAACCAAACAAAUAUCAGAAGAUGACCCUUUGGAGGACACUGCUAGCUCACCUGUCAAUAGUCCUAAGGUAUGUAAUUAUAUUAUUUUUUUCAUUUAAUUCAUUUUUUAAUGAUGAAUAUUUGUAUACCCUUAAUUUCCUUGUUUACAAUCCU
rnacentral:lncRNA from 1 species